UUUGGGAUAACCCUCGGAAACGGGGGCUAAUACCGAAUAGGACCUUCGGCCGCAUGGUUGAGGGUGGAAAGUUUUUCGGCUUGGGAUGGGCUCGCGGCCUAUCAGCUUGUUGGUGGGGUGAUGGCCUACCAAGGCGACGACGGGUAGCCGGCCUGAGAGGGCGACCGGCCACACUGGGACUGAGACACGGCCCAGACUCCUACGGGAGGCAGCAGUGGGGAAUAUUGCACAAUGGGCGGAAGCCUGAUGCAGCGACGCCGCGUGAGGGAUGACGGCCUUCGGGUUGUAAACCUCUUUCAGCAGGGACGAAGCGAGAGUGACGGUACCUGCAGAAGAAGCACCGGCCAACUACGUGCCAGCAGCCGCGGUAAGACGUAGGGUGCGAGCGUUGUCCGGAUUUAUUGGGCGUAAAGAGCUCGUAGGCGGCUUGUCGCGUCGACCGUGAAAACUUGGGGCUCAACCCCAAGCCUGCGGUCGAUACGGGCAGGCUAGAGUUCGGUAGGGGAGACUGGAAUUCCUGGUGUAGCGGUGAAAUGCGCAGAUAUCAGGAGGAACACCGGUGGCGAAGGCGGGUCUCUGGGCCGAUACUGACGCUGAGGAGCGAAAGCGUGGGGAGCGAACAGGAUUAGAUACCCUGGUAGUCCACGCUGUAAACGUUGGGCGCUAGGUGUGGGGGGCCUCUCCCGGUUCCCUGUGCCGCAGCUAACGCAUUAAGCGCCCCGCCUGG
rnacentral:rRNA from 1 species